AGUACAGUAAGGGAAUCCUUACACAAAUGUAGGAGUGGGCACAAUAUAACCAAGUUGCAGAAAAUUGUAUAACCUGUGUGACAGCCCUUGAGAAGUGACAGCAACACCCUAACUGCCCCAAGAUGUGUGUGUAUUGCACAAGUGAGAGCCAUGUCCUGGAUGUUGCGGGAAUGUGCCCGUUUGAGCUGGAUCCUCUGCUGGAGCUGAAGAAGGGUCACACCGGUUCCUCUCUGCUCUGACACAACCAGAGCAGCCCUACAGACAGUUCUUUGCAGAUUUCAUGGUAAUUUCACUGUAAAUAAGUGAAGUCAUAGAAGCACAGAAUUGUUAAGGUUUGAAAAGACCUCUGAGAUCAUCAAGUCCAACCUUUGACCAAACACCACCACCUUUGAGCAAAACUAGACCACGGCAUCAAGCACCGCAUCCAGUCCUUGAAGUCCUGAGGGAGAAAACCCACACCAGAACCUUUCUGGAGAACAUGACUAGCUGUUCUCCAGCUUUGCAUAGGCCUUGGAAAGGAUGGAGCUUCUGACUUCAGAACAAAAGAGGAAGAAACAUGCCAGUGGAAGGAAAUGUUACUGGAGCUGAAGGCGCUGCUUUGGGGCAGCUCUGAGGCUGAGUUUUCAGUCCAUAGACACUUCUUCUUGAACAGCAAGAGAAACAUAAUUCAAAGCUAUUCCACUUGAAUAAUAUGCCUUCACAAACUCCUGGGAUUUGCCUUUCAGUGUGAAUUUCUGCAGUGCUUAUGUGAACAUACAGAUUUCUUUUGUGUUGUAAGAUUUCUGCAAUAUCUGAACUUUAACAUUUUAACAUAGUCCUAUGAUUCCCAGCUUGUCACUUUUCCUAGAAUUGCUGCAGUAAUGCUGAAAUAGAACAAUAAAUCCACUGUGAUGAUGAAUGUUUUGAGUGAAAAGGCUGCAGCACUUUGUCCACAUGAGCAAGGACUGAUCAGACCAAGAGUGCUGUAAAACUCAGUCACCACUUCUGCCAUUCCUUUUCUGCUGCUGAAAACUGGUGAUUCUUCUUUUAGAGGUGCAGAGGGAAGGAGUCUCUUCCCCUCCCCCUGCUCCCAGAUGAAAAGUUGUGGUUUCUCCCCACUAACACAAUAUCAGUACCUUUGCCAUGUUUUCAGUCCUGGGUUGGGAAUUCAUUGUACAAUGUGGGUCUU